ensembl:rRNA 5S_rRNA 5S ribosomal RNA
GCUUACGGCCAUACCAACCUGGCUAUGCCCGAUCUCGUCUGAUCUCGGAAGCUAAGCAGGUUUAGGCCUGGUUAGUACUUGGAUGGGAGACCGCCUGGGAAUACCAGGUGCUGUAAGCU